GAUGAACGCUAGCGGCAGGCCUAAUACAUGCAAGUCGAACGGUGUCUUCGGACAUAGUGGCGCACGGGUGCGUAACACGUAUGCAACCUACCUUACAUUGGGGGAUAGCCUUUCGAAAGGGAGAUUAAUACCGCAUAAGACAGUAGCUGGGCAUCCAGCAGCUGUUAAAGAUUUAUCGAUGUAAGCUGGGCAUGCGUCCAAUUAGCUAGUUGGUGAGGUAACGGUUCACCAAGGCAAUGAUUGGUAGGGGAACUGAGAGGUCAAUCCCCCACACUGGCACUGAGCUACGGGCCAGACUCCUACGGGAGGCAGCAGUAGGGAAUAUUGGGCAAUGGCCGCAAGUCUGACCCAGCCAUGCCGCGUGCAGGAUGAAGGCGUUAUGCGUUGUAAACUGCUUUUAUACAGGAAGAAACGACUCUUGCGAGAGGCAUUGACGGUACUGUAUGAAUAAGCACCGGCUAACUCCGUGCCAGCCGCCGCCGUAAGAC
rnacentral:rRNA from 1 species